CCCUUAGAUGUUCGGGGCCGCACGCGCGCUACACUGAAGGAAUCAGCGUGCCCUUGUCCUGGUCUGGAAAGACUGGGUAACCCGUUGAACCUCCUUCGUGCUAGGGAUUGGGGCUUGCAAUUAUUCCCCAUGAACGAGGAAUUCCCAGUAAGCGCAAGUCAUCAGCUUGUGUUGAUUACGUCCCUGCCCUUUGUACACACCGCCCGUCGCUACUACCGAUUGAAUGGUUUAGUGAGAUCUCGGGAUUGGAGACGUUGCGCCGCAAGGCACAUCGUCCUCGAGAACUUGAUCAAACUUGAUCAUUUAGAGGAAGUAAAAGUCGUAACA
rnacentral:rRNA from 1 species